GACGAACGCUGGCGGUGUGCUUAAUACAUGCAAGUCGAACGUGAAGCUACCUUCGGGUAGUGGAAAGUGGCGGACGGGUGAGUAACACGUAGGUAAUCUGCCUUAAGGUGGGGGACAACGUUGGGAAACUGACGCUAAUACCCCAUAUGUGGCGAGCUGCAAUGCUCGUUAUGAAAGUUCCGGCGCCUUAAGAUGAGCCUGCGGCUGAUUAGUUUGUUGGUGGGGUAAUGGCCUACCAAGACUACGAUCAGUAGCUGGUCUGAGAGGAUGAUCAGCCACAAUGGGACUGAGACACGGCCCAUACUCCUACGGGUGGCUG
rnacentral:rRNA from 1 species